GCUAUAAUGCAGUCGAGCGAGCAAAUUAAAGGAAUACUUCGGUAGGAAUUUAAUAGCGCGAGCGGCGGAUGGGUGAGUAACACGUGGGCAACCUGCCCUUUAGCUUGGGAUACCACUUGGAAACAGGUGCUAAUACCAAAUAAGAAGUAAGAGCGCAUGCUCAAGCUAUGAAAGGCGGCUUUCGAGCUGUCACUAAAGGAUGGGCCCGCGGUGCAUUAGCUAGUUGGUAAGGUAACGGCUUACCAAGGCAAUGAUGCAUAGCCGAGUUGAGAGACUGAUCGGCCACAUUGGGACUGAGACACGGCCCAAACUCCUACGGGAGGCAGCAGUAGGGAAUCUUCCACAAUGGACGCAAGUCUGAUGGAGCAACGCCGCGUGAGUGAAGAAGGUUUUCGGAUCGUAAAGCUCUGUUGUUGGUGAAGAAGGACAUGGGUAGUAACUGAUCUAUGUUUGACGGUAAUCAACCAGAAAGUCACGGCUAACUACGUGCCAGCAGCCGCGGUAAUACGUAGGUGGCAAGCGUUGUCCGGAUUUAUUGGGCGUAAAGCGAACGCAGGCGGGAGAACAAGUCAGCUGUGAAAGCCCUCGGCUUAACCGAGGAACGGCAACUGAAACUGUUUUUCUUGAGUGCAGAAGAGGAGAGUGGAACUCCAUGUGUAGCGGUGAAAUGCGUAGAUAUAUGGAAGAACACCAGUGGCGAAGGCGGCUCUCUGGUCUGUAACUGACGCUGAGGUUCGAAAGCAUGGGUAGCGAACAGGAUUAGAUACCCUGGUAGUCCAUGCCGUAAACGAUGAGUGCUAAGUGUUGGGAGGUUUCCGCCUCUCAGUGCUGCAGCUAACGCAUUAAGCACUCCGCCUGGGGAGUACGACCGCAAGGUUAAAACUCAAAGGAAUUGACGGGGGCCCGCACAAGCGGUGGAGCAUGUGGUUUAAUUCGAAGCAACGCGAAGAACCUUACCAGGUCUUGACAUCUAGUGCAAACCCUAGAGAUAG
rnacentral:rRNA from 1 species